GUCGNNCGGCAGCACGGGGGCAACCCUGGUGGCGAGUGGCGAACGGGUGAGUAACAUAUCGGAACGUGCCCUGGAGUGGGGGAUAACUAGUCGAAAGAUUAGCUAAUACCGCAUACGAUCUACGGAUGAAAGUGGGGGAUCGCAAGACCUCAUGCUCGUGGAGCGGCCGAUAUCUGAUUAGCUAGUUGGUGGGGUAAAGGCCUACCAAGGCAUCGAUCAGUAGCUGGUCUGAGAGGACGACCAGCCACACUGGGACUGAGACACGGCCCAGACUCCUACGGGAGGCAGCAGUGGGGAAUUUUGGACAAUGGGCGCAAGCCUGAUCCAGCAAUGCCGCGUGAGUGAAGAAGGCCUUCGGGUUGUAAAGCUCUUUUGUCAGGGAAGAAACGGUUCGGGUUAAUACCUUGGGCUAAUGACGGUACCUGAAGAAUAAGCACCGGCUAACUACGUGCCAGCAGCCGCGGUAAUACGUAGGGUGCAAGCGUUAAUCGGAAUUACUGGGCGUAAAGCGUGCGCAGGCGGUUGUGCAAGACAGAUGUGAAAUCCCCGGGCUCAACCUGGGAAUUGCAUUUGUGACUGUACGGCUAGAGUGUGUCAGAGGGGGGUAGAAUUCCACGUGUAGCAGUGAAAUGCGUAGAGAUGUGGAGGAAUACCGAUGGCGAANGCAGCCCCCUGGGAUAACACUGACGCUCAUGCACGAAAGCGUGGGGAGCAAACAGGAUUAGAUACCCUGNUAGUCCACGCCCUAAACGAUGUCUACUAGUUGUCGGGUCUUUAUUGACUUGGUAACGCAGCUAACGCGUGAAGUAGACCGCCUGGGGAGUACGGUCGCNAGAUUAAAACUCAAAGGAAUUGACGGGGACCCGCACAAGCGGUGGAUGAUGUGGAUUAAUUCGAUGCAACGCGAAAAANCNUUACC
rnacentral:rRNA from 1 species